CGUUGUACAUCAUCUGAAAACAUUUCUCCUUUCCUUGUCAGGAUUACAGGAGUCUCGUGUAUUGCCCUGCAAAUCCCACUUUCAUUCUUUAGUCAGGUGUACCUGAGAACAAGUCAGGUUGCCUGUUUCUCUUCAUCUGAUCCACUUCCCACCUGAGCUGUGAGUUCUCACGCAGGGAGUGGACGAGAGGUUAACACUUUUGUAAGCAUCAGUUCAGAAUGUUCGCCCCAGAAUUCAGCACAGCUCCAAACAACCACUUCUCCAAAGAACAAAAGGAAAUGAUCUCUUAAAGAAUGAUCCAGUGGUCCAAAACGAAGUCUGGUGACCAGCAGGAACUCAGGCGAGCUGUGUACACCUAGAUGGGAACCUUUAGUGGCUGCACCAGCUUGCAUUCCCACCAACAGCGUAGGAGGGCUCCCCUUUCUCCACAUCCUCGCCAAUAUUUGUGAUUUCCUGCCUUGUUACUUUUUGUCAUCCUA
rnacentral:lncRNA from 1 species